CGACCCCUAAUCCUCUCCCCUCUCUCCUCUCUCCUCUCUUUCCUCUUCUAUGUAAAACCCUAGCGCCGCCCUCAAUUUUUCCCUCUCUCUUACCAAAAAUUGCAACCGCACAGAGGUCUCAGGCUUUUCGCAAACCUUGUACAACCAAUAACGUGAAACAAUUAAUCUUUCAACAACUUUUUUUUGCACUCAAACUCGUCCAAACACAGUGGAGCACAUAGGCUUCAAAUUCGUUCUUGUUCACAGUUGCACCUAAAAAUGGCAAUUCUUUUGAGUCAUGAUCGAGCCCAGCGAAGAAAUGGAAGCAGGCAAUUCUUUUGAGUCAUGAUGAAUGAUUUAACUAUGCAGGUAAUAACAUGGAAUUAACUUAUCCCUAAGAUGUGAAAUUAGGUAAUAUGUGAAUACUAAUAAGAAUAAAAGCAUUAUAAGAAAUACAUUUUAUGAAAGAUUUUGUAAAUAGGAAAAGUUAUGUAGUCCUUGAUUAGUAGAUCAUUAGAAACUCACCGACGAAAAUUUCUUCCUUAAAAUUAAAUCAUACAGAGAACUUCAAUUUUAACUAACAAA